GACGAACGCUGGCGGCGUGCCUAAUACAUGCAAGUCGAGCGCAGGAAGCCGUCUGAACCCUUCGGGGGGACGACGGUGGAAUGAGCGGCGGACGGGUGAGUAACACGUAAAGAACCUGCCCAUAGGUCUGGGAUAACCACGAGAAAUCGGGGCUAAUACCGGAUGUGUCAUCGGACCGCAUGGUCCGCUGAUGAAAGGCGCUCCGGCGUCGCCCAUGGAUGGCUUUGCGGUGCAUUAGCUAGUUGAUGGGGUAACGGCCCACCAAGGCAACGAAGCAUAGACGCCCUGAGAGGGGGAUCGGCCACACUGGGACUGAGACACGGCCCAGACUCCUACGGGAGGCAGCAGUAGGGAAUCUUCCACAAUGGACGAAAGUCUGAUGGAGCAACGCCGCGUGAACGAUGAAGGCUUUCGGGUCGUAAAGUUCUGUUGUAAGGGAAGAACAAGUGCCGCAGGCAAUGGCGGCACCUUGACGGUACCUUGCGAGAAAGCCACGGCUAACUACGUGCCAGCCGCCGCAGUAAGAC
rnacentral:rRNA from 1 species